rnacentral:rRNA from 1 species
UACAGAGGUCUCAACCGUUGUUCGGGUUCAUUGGGCGUAAAGGGUGCGUAGGCGGUCGCGUAAGUCAGGUGUGAAAUCUCAGGGCUCAACCCUGAAACUGCACUUGAUACUGCGUGGCUCGGGUACUGGAGAGGAGACUGGAAUUUACGGUGUAGCAGUGAAAUGCGUAGAUAUCGUAAGGAAGACCAGUGGCGAAGGCGAGUCUCUGGACAGUUACCGACGCUGAGGCACGAAGGUCAGGGGAGCAAACGGG